GACGAACGCUGGCGGCGUGCCUAAUACAUGCAAGUCGAACGCAGUGGGGACGGGUGAGUAACACGUGGGUAACCUCCCAUCAGAGGGGAUAACACUUGGAAACAGGUGCUAAACCGAUACUGAUUGAUGGCGCCGGUGUGGAGUAGCUAGUUGGUGGGGUAACGGCUCACCAAGUCCACGAUGCAUAGCCGGGCGGAGAGGGUGAUCGGCCACACUGGGACUGAGACACGGCCCAGACGCCUACGGGAGGCAGCAGUGGGGAAUCUUCGGCAAUGGGCGCAAGUCUGAUCGAGCAACGCCGCGGGAGUGAAGAAGGUUUUCGGGUCGUAAAGUACUUUUGGUGGGGAGGCGUUACCUACAGAAGAAGCACCGGCUAACUCCGUGCCAGCAGCCGCGGUAAUAC
rnacentral:rRNA from 1 species